rnacentral:misc_RNA from 1 species
AAGUCGUAACAAGGUUUCCGUAGGUGAACCUGCGGAAGGAUCAUUGAGUGUGUGGCUUUGCCUGCUAUCUCUUACCCGUGUCUUUGAGUACUUACGUUUCCUCGGUGGGUUCGCCCACCGAUUGGACAAUUUAAACCCUUUGCAGUUGCAAUCAGCGUCUGAAAAACAAUAAUAGUUACAA